rnacentral:rRNA from 1 species
AUUGAACGCUGGCGGCAUGCCUAACACAUGCAAGUCGAGCGGAUGAAGGGAGCUUUCUCCUGGAUUCAGCGGCGGACGGGUGAGUAAUGCCUAGGAAUCUGCCUGGUAGUGGGGGAUAACGUCCGGAAACGGGCGCUAAUACCGCAUACGUCCUGAGGGAGAAAGUGGGGGAUCUUCGGACCUCACGCUAUCAGAUGAGCCUAGGUCGGAUUAGCUAGUUGGUGGGGUAAAGGCCUACCAAGGCGACGAUCCGUAACUGGUCUGAGAGGAUGAUCAGUCACACUGGAACUGAGACACGGUCCAGACUCCUACGGGAGGCAGCAGUGGGGAAUAUUGGACAAUGGGCGAAAGCCUGAUCCAGCCAUGCCGAGUGUGUGAAGAAGGUCUUCGGAUUGUAAAGCACUUUAAGUUGGGAGGAAGGGCAGUAAGUUAAUACCUUGCUGUUUUGACGUUACCAACAGAAUAAGCACCGGCUAACUUCGUG